GACGAACGCUGGCGGCGUGCCUAAUACAUGCAAGUUGAGCGCUGAAGGUUGGUACUUGUACCAACUGGAUGAGCAGCGAACGGGUGAGUAACGCGUGGGGAAUCUGCCUUUGAGCGGGGGACAACAUUUGGAAACGAAUGCUAAUACCGCAUAAAAACUUUAAACACAAGUUUUAAGUUUGAAAGAUGCAAUUGCAUCACUCAAAGAUGAUCCCGCGUUGUAUUAGCUAGUUGGUGAGGUAAAGGCGCACCAAGGCGAUGAUACAUAGCCGACCUGAGAGGGUGAUCGGCCACAUUGGGACUGAGACACGGCCCAAACUCCUACGGGAGGCAGCAGUAGGGAAUCUUCGGCAAUGGACGAAAGUCUGACCGAGCAACGCCGCGUGAGUGAGGAAGGUUUUCGGAUCGUAAAACUCUGUUGGUAGAGAAGAACGUUGGUGAGAGUGGAAAGCUCAUCAAGUGACGGUAACUACCCAGAAAGGGACGGCUAACUACGUG
rnacentral:rRNA from 1 species